CACCGCGGUUAGACGAGAGACCCUAGUUGAUAAUACAACGGCGUAAAGGGUGGUUAGGGAUAAGUAAUAAUAAAGCCAAAUGGCUCUUUGGCCGUCAUACGCUUCUAGAUGUCCGAAGCCCCAAUACGAAAGUAGCUUUAACAACCCCACCCGACCCCACGAAAGCUGAGAAA
rnacentral:rRNA from 1 species